rnacentral:lncRNA from 1 species
UCUCCCACCUGUGGCAGCCAGAGCACCUUUCCGACGUCCCUCCUCACCUGAUGACACAAUCCAUCAGCGCCCACYGAAAUCAAAUGCAGCUAAUUGGAAGGUGAUGACAGCCCAGGGACUGCUGGAUUUGCAUGCUAAUUCUUCUAUUUUAGUGUCACACAACAAACUAAAGGUUCAAAGUGGCAGCAGCACCACCUCGCCAUCCAUCUGGGAUCCGACUCCUUCAUCGAGCAGAGGGCUGCGUACCUGUCUCAGCCAGAGGCCUUGUGGCUUUCAGCAGCUGAACACUUUGGGAUGCAACUGAACCAGGGUUUUCAGCUGGACAACGUCUGAACUAACUGCAAAUCACAAUGUCACCAUGAAUGUCCACUGGCAAACUGGAUAAGAAAGAGUGUCACAGUGCAGGACAACCUAGAAGAUGACAGAUAUUUCCAGGCAUAGCAAUGAUGAGAUCAAAUUCCCCUCAACCUGCCUUGUUUGCUGAUCUUUUAAUCAGAUUCAACUUCACUGCAGCUACAGCACAAGGUUCCCUGACAAUGUAUGACAACGUGUGACAGAAAAAUAUUUUGAUUUUUUUCUGACCAUUUGAUGCUAUUUCAGAUAUAUCUGAAGCCCCAAUAGCAUCUGUUAAAUCUACCAGACUAUUUUAGUGGAGGGUUUUAUAUGUGCAUAAUUAAACAGGAGUGUUUGGGGUUUGUGUUCACUUGAUUGUAGUGGAAUCCAAACAGGAAAGCCGGGAAAUGAUCUAAACCCUUUGAGGUUAACGUGCCAUUAAAGCGCAUCAAUGACCAAAGAGGACAUUAUUAAAAAGCAGCCAGCCUAGCUCAAUAAGAACCACURUGUGAAGCAAGAGCCCAUGGAACAACACCCAGGGCUGCACGCAAUCCCRCAGGGAUGUGUAUUUCAUCCCCUGGCUUCGUCUCUCCAAAUUUCCUCUGAACCGCUCCUGAGCUGCAUUCUUGAAAAAGAAAAAUGCCAGCAACUACCGAAUGCGUCUUAUCAACCUUUUCCCUACAAUCUGUUUCGUAUUCCUCUCACACCUUUGUUCUCACAGUGACUUGGGGAAAUGCUUGAAUCAAAGAUAAGGGAGAACAAGCAAAGGAAUGAAGAAAGAGACAAACAACAAAACAUCCCCCUUCCCAAACUUUUUGACUAAACUCCUCCGUGAAUCAUGUGUAUGAUUACAGCAAAGUUAAAACUACCUUCUUCUUCUCCAGUACUUAAUUCCUACUUUUAAAAUCAGGAUCCCUUUGAUCUUGAGAACUGAAAUGAUCUGGAAAUGAAACAGCCAUUGCUUUGCAGAAAAUCUGGAUAGGGUCCCAGACAUGGCUUUUACCUGGAAGGCUUCC